UACAUAGGGUGCAAGCGUUGUCCGGAAUUAUUGGGCGUAAAGAGCUCGUAGGUGGUUAGUUACGUCGGAUGUGAAAAUCUAGGGCUCAACCCUAGACCUGCAUCCGAUACGGGCUAGCUUGAGUUUGGUAGGGGAGACUGGAAUUCCUGGUGUAGCGGUGGAAUGCGCAGAUAUCAGGAGGAACACCAAUGGCGAAGGCAGGUCUCUGGGCCAUUACUGACACUGAGGAGCGAAAGCGUGGGGAGCGAACAGG
rnacentral:rRNA from 1 species